UACGAAGGGGGCUAGCGUUGUUCGGAAUUACUGGGCGUAAAGCGCGCGCAGGCGGUUUCUCAAGUCAGUGGUGAAAGCCCGGAGCUCAACCCCGGAACUGCCAUUGAAACUGUGAAACUUGAGGACGAGAGAGGUGAGUGGAAUUCCCAGUGUAGAGGUGAAAUUCGUAGAUAUUGGGAAGAACACCGGUGGCGAAGGCGGCUCACUGGCUCGUUUCUGACGCUCAGGCGCGACAGCGUGGGGAUCAAACAGG
rnacentral:rRNA from 1 species